UCAAAUCAGGUAGGACUACCCGCUGAACUUAAGCAUAUCAAUA
rnacentral:rRNA from 2 species